GGAGGGGUGGCAGAGCGGUUGAAUGCACCGGUCUUGAAAACCGGCAUACCUUCACGGGUAUCGAGGGUUCGAAUCCCUCCCCCUCCGCAA
rnacentral:tRNA from 1 species